rnacentral:rRNA from 1 species
GUGUCGUGAGAUGGUGGGUUAAAUCCCGCAACGAGCGCAACCCUUGAUUUUAGUUUCCAUCAUUAAGUUGGGCACUUUAAGGUGACUGCCGGUGACAAACCGGAGGAAGGUGGGGAUGACGUCAAAUCAUCAAGCCCCUUAUGACCUGGGCUACACACGUGCUACAAUGGACGGUACAAAGAGCUGCAAGACCGCGAGGUGGAGCUAAUCUCAUAAAACCGUUUUCAGUUCGGAUUGUAGGCUGCAACUUGCCUACAUGAAGCUGGAAUCGCUAGUAAUCGCGGAUCAGCAUGCCGCGGUGAAUACGUUCCCGGGCCUUGUACACACCGCCCGUCACACCCCGAGAGUUUGUAACACCCGAAGUCGGGGGGGUAACCUUUUUGGAGCCAGCCGCCUAAGGUGGGACAGAUGAUUGGGGGAAGUCGAACAAGAUGCAGGG